rnacentral:rRNA from 1 species
AUUGAACGCUGGCGGCAGGCUUAACACAUGCAAGUCGAACGAGAGGCGGACGGGUGAGUAAGGAUUGGGAAUCGGGCCUAUGGAGGGGGAUAACAACGGGAAACUGUAGCUAAUAACGCGUACAAUAGGAUGAGCCCAAGGGGGAUUAGGUAGUUGGUGUGGUAAAGGCUCACCAAGCCGACGAUCUCUAGCUGGUCUGAGAGGAUGACCAGCCACACUGGGACUUGUACACGGCCCAGACUCCUACGGGAGGCAGCAGUGGGGAAUAUUGCGCAAUGGGGGCAACCUGACCCAGCCAUGCCGCGUGAAUGAAGAAGGCCUUCGGGUUGUAAAGUUCUUUCGGUAGCAAGGCGUUAACUACAGAAUAAGCACCGGCUAACUCCGUGCCAGCAGCCGCGGUAAUUC